UGGGGAAUAUUGCACAAUGGAGGGAACUCUGAUGCAGCGACGCCGCGUGAACGAAGAAGGCUUUCGAGUCGUAAAGUUCUUUUAUAUGGGAAGAUAAUGACGGUACCAUAAGAAAAAGCCCCGGCUAACUACGUGCCAGCAGCCGCGGUAAUACGUAGGGGGCUAGCGUUGUCCGGAAUCACUGGGCGUAAAGGGUUCGCAGGCGGAAAUGCAAGUCAGGUGUAAAAGGCAGUAGCUUAACUACUGUAAGCAUUUGAAACUGCAUAUCUUGAGAAGAGUAGAGGUAAGUGGAAUUUUUAGUGUAGCGGUGAAAUGCGUAGAUAUUAAAAAGAAUACCAGUGGCGAAGGCGACUUACUGGGCUCAUUCUGACGCUGAGGAACGAAAGCGUGGGUAGCAAACAGG
rnacentral:rRNA from 3 species